AGGGUUUGAUCAUGGCUCAGAUUGAACGCUGGCGGCACGCUUUACACAUGCAAGUCGAGCGGCAGCGCGGAGGUGCCUAGCAUUUCUGGCGGCGAGCGGCGGACGGGUGAGUAACGCAUGGGAAUAUGCCCGACAGAGGGGGAUAACUUUGGGAAACCAAAGCUAAUACCGCAUACGCUCUACGGAGGAAAGCGGGGGAUCUUCGGACCUCGCACUGACGGAGUAGCCCAUGUCCGAUUAGCUUGUUGGGGUGGUAACGGCACACCAAGGCGAUGAUCGGUAGCUGGUCUGAGAGGAUGAUCAGCCACACCGGGACUGAGACACGGCCCGGACUCCUACGGGAGGCAGCAGUGGGGAAUAUUGGACAAUGGGGGCAACCCUGAUCCAGCGAUGCCGCGUGAGUGAAGAAGGCUUUCGGGUUGUAAAGCUCUUUCGCGGGGGAAGAAACGGCGCAAGUGAAUAAUUUGCGUUACUGACGGUACCCUGAUAAGAAGCACCGGCUAACUACGUGCCAGCAGCCGCGGUAAUACGUAGGGUGCGAGCGUUAAUCGGAAUUACUGGGCGUAAAGCGUGCGUAGGCGGCCGUGCAAGUCAGAUGUGAAAGCCCCGGGCUCAACCUGGGAACUGCGUUUGAAACUGCAUGGCUAGAGUUCGGCAGGGGAAGAUGGAAUUCCAUGUGUAGCGGUGAAAUGCGUAGAGAUAUGGAAGAACACUAAUGGCGAAGGCGUUCUUCUGGGCCGACACUGACGCUGAGUCACUAAAGCGUGGGGAGCAAACAGGAUUAGAUACCCUGGUAGUCCACGCCCU
rnacentral:rRNA from 1 species